UUCUGACCUGUAUUAAAUGAUAUCCGUCUUGUUUUAUUUUAUUUACCCUGGGGAUUGUAUUCAGUUUGUUUGGUGCGCAUGAACGCGUCUGUCUUUCAUAUAGUUGUUGCUGUGUAGCCAAGGAGAUGUUGUCAACAGAGAGUGGCCCUUGACGGUCGCUUGAUAAGACACGAUGCGCCAGGCCAUGGAUAAACAUGCAAAGUCCACGCUGCACCUCCAUUACAAUCGAGUACGCCCUGCUGGAAAAGAUAUCGGUGCGCGGACGCGCAGACGCACUCGAAAAGAAGAAGACGUUGCACGUGAUUCCGCUAAGCUCCCGGCCUCAACACAAAUUGGAACUUUGUUGAGUUGACUUGUCCCAGCUCCGUCGCUGCACUAACGUUGAAGCCUCAGGCUCGCGGCAUCCACAUCUGCAGACGGAAGGAAGGGAGAUGCAGAGGGAAGGGAGAAGCGAGCAGGGAGAAAGAGAGUGAAGGUCACUCCAUCACAGGACAUCCCUGGUUAAAAAUCCACCAGAAGCUGGAGAUAAAAUAACCCGUACAGGAUUCUAAAGUGGAUGCAGAGAAGAGAUGCGAGCGUCAUCAAUCGUAUGUUUUUGCAUUCACUGAAAGAGAUACACUUGACAAACGCGGGCAAGGACCCCGUGUUGCAGCAGCAGAUCCGACUCUCUGCACAUUCACACAGGACGGCAUUCAGACACGGAAGCACUAUCUAGGCCACUGGGCUGCAAUCAGCAUCAGUGAGAGGGAGGGCGGCGGGAGAACUGGGAUGCAAACCUACGCAUCCACAUUCGUGUCUCUGCGUGUGUGGCCAAGCAGCUUCCCCUGAUGAGGCUCCUCAUCACACAAAUCCGUGUCUCUUCCCCUGGAAUAUAAAUCCAGACGGUGGCAUCUGGAUUACAAGCAACAGACCACAUGCACCGUGUUUACAGUCCACAGUGACAUAAGAGUUUGGGUUGUGGUUUCAUGGAUUAUUACAGGACAAUAUGCAAGCAAGCUUACCUUACCCGCAUAAUGAUGUGUAAUGUGAUGUGUGUUGUUUUAUAUAGGGGAAGCUUUAAUGAAACACACUGCAUGUCAUGUACAGCUCUGUCUGCUUCUUUGGCUGCAGCCCUUUGUCCUCCCAGAAGAAUGAAUAAAUAAAGUACUGACGCGUUGCUACUGUGCUACAGUAUUUGUUUGUCAAUGGUUUCCUCGUGGAUUAUAAUUUCUUCCGCUCGCAGCCCAGAUGAGGACCGGGCAUAUCGAGAUUAAGGCCGAUAGAUAAUCCGAUCACAGGGCUGUUUGAACUGAUGGGGGUGACCGCUCACUCGAGCAAACUGUUUUCCCAUGGAAAUUUUAUGAGUGGGAAGCAUUUUGCCAAUAAGAUCAAUAAAAACAUAAACCACACGCUGGCACGGAGAGCUACCAGCUGAGGCUGGAGGCUCUCAGUGGCUGACAUUGUUAUUUAGUUUUUCUUCUUUUAUUAUUUUUAUUAUUAAUCAUUGACUACAUGUCGCUGUGUGGGCUUUGCAAUGAAUGCCAGGAAUGUUGUGUUAAUGUGUAAACUAGACCUUUCCACAUCACGGAUUUGAGGCUUUUUAACCUUUUUGGAAUAGCGCUUGAAGUCAGCAGUUUCAGUUACAGUCGAGUGAAGGAAAGACAGUAGAGACACGAUCUGAGCAAGAGUCAGUGAAAGGCACUGGA